UUUACAUUCUUUGUGGCCUAUGACUUUCAAGAAGGUACCAAGAACCUAUUCCUUCAAUUUUUAUAGUAGUAAAUAGAAACCUUGAAACAAUGACACAUUCUCUAAAAUUCCUCAAGACAUACAAUUCUAUAUUAAAAUAGCUACAAACCCUUUAUUAAAACCCCUUCUUCUGUUAUAAGUAAACUUCUGUGUCAGAAAAUUUACUUGGGAUAUUGAAUAACUGCUCCAAAAUGACUUAAAAGAAACAGUGAUCUGGGACAUCUGUAGCACACUCACCAAUAAGAAUUUUUUUAAAAAAGAAAAGAAACUGAUUUUAAAACUUAUACUUAAUUACAGAGUAAAAGUACUAUUUU